UACGUAGGGGGCUAGCGUUGUCCGGAAUCAUUGGGCGUAAAGCGCGUGUAGGCGGUCCGGUAAGUCCGCUGUGAAAGUCGGGGGCUCAACCCUCGAAAGCCGGUGGAUACUGUUGGGCUAGAGUACGGAAGAGGCGAGUGGAAUUCCUGGUGUAGCGGUGAAAUGCGUAGAUAUCUGGAGGAACACCGGUGGCGAAAGCGGUUCACUGGCCCGACACUGACACUGAGGUGCGAAAGCUAGGGUAGCAAACGGG
rnacentral:rRNA from 1 species